GCUGGGCACAGUGGUGCACGCCUGUAAUCCUAGAGGCUUUGGAGGCUGAGACAGGAGAAUUGUGAGUUCAAAACCAGCCUCAGCAAAAGUGAGGUGCUAAGCAACUCAGUGAGACCCUGUCUCUA
rnacentral:sRNA from 1 species